UCGUCUCAGUUUGAAUCUGGACGCUCUGAUUGGUUGAUUAAGUAGCGGGAAUUAUAAAUUACACAGAUAAACGCGCUUUCGGGUGUCAAUUUCUUUCGAGAAAGUCGUAAUUUGAUGUUGAAGUUUGAAAAUGAAAAAUUGGAAUUUAAAUAUAUAAAAUGAUACAGAAAUGGAUGAAAUUGCGGCCUAUGGGCUAAAUCGAUACAAUCUAUCGAUCUCGCAUGUUUUUUGAAUCUAAAAUCGUCUGAAAAGUCGCCAAAAUCAAUACCUGUCAAAAAUGUAAAUGACAAGGUCAAAUUUGAAAGACUUCAAGGAAUUAUGUACCUCUUUUUUGCACAUCACCCUAAUUUUUCUUAAAUCUAAACGAAAAUCAUAACAAAACGUAACUACUUAGCCUAAUCCAUAAUACUAAUUCUAAGAGCCGAAAAAUCUUGGAUUUCACCCCGCAAACAUUAAGUUAUUUUUUGUGUAAAUCUGAAAUUAAUUACUCUUGGACAAAGAAUUUAUUUGCGUUAUAAAAAGGUUACACUAGCUGCUGUAGUAGCUUUGUUGCAAAGGCCUUGUCGAUUUAAUAACCCAUAUUGGGAACUCAACAACAUUCAUUUAGUUAGAUAUAUAAUGCUGAAUGUGAUAGAAUUAAGCAAAAUACUUUGAAAAGCUAUCAGAAUUGAGCCUAACCAAAACAAAGGAAAUAAUUACAAAAAUCUGGUUUAAAUAAGCAUCUUUAUUAGUUCUUUAAGAAAACAGUAUUUAUAAUAAAAAUUCUUUAGUAAAUAGAUGAAGUAAAGUUGAAAUGAAGCGAAAUGGGGAAGACAAAAACCUGAAAAUAAUUAAAAUUUCAAAAAAUUGAUUAAAAACGUAUUAUUCUAACUUACUUCAUAAGCAAAUUUGUUAUAUUUCACUUGACGAACUUUUUUUUUGGUGUUAAUAUGCCACACUUAUUCUUUUUUGAACACUUAACAUAGACCAAAGCACAAUACAUAGAACGUAAUACUCGCUUUGAUUUGAUCAAUAAAUUCCAAAUGAAAUCAUGCCAACGACGUUCCUUUGAGUUUAGCAAUUCUUUCAAGAUGUCUCCUUUCAAGCAUAUCCUCUAUUUGUAGGAGCAUAGGGCGAAAAUGUUCCUCCAUCUGAACGAUAGGAUUAAAGUUAAGGAUGAAUAAUGCGAAGAAAAAUUAAAAAGAAAAUCAAUUUUGAAUGGCAAUUAAUGUUCUUUAUUAACGCCCAUAUUGCUCGCGGGUUUUUCUUGUUGUUUUGAAAAUAAAGAGGUAAACAUAAAACUUGCAUUUUAA